GCCACGUCAGAUGACCAUUUAUUAUGAUAAGGGGUACUUUGGGCAUAUCAAUUUUUUCCUAUUCGAUUCAAAAAAGAAAAGGCAUUCAGGUAAACACCUCUAUUCUUUGAUUAUAAAUGGACAGAAGCUGGACAAUAGUCUUUAUGAUAUAUGUUACAUGAGAAACUUGAGGCUCCUUAGAGUAUUACUCAUGCAUGACUCUUUUAUCAAGGUGAAUGAUUCUUUGCUGAAUGAGAUAUGCAUGUUGGUUCACUUGAGGUUCUUACAGAUUAAGACAUAAGUUAAAUCUCUACCUUUGUCUUUUUCAAACCUCUGGAAUCUGGAAACUCUGUCAUGGACCAGCCUUGGUACUACUACCCACAAUUUGGAAUCUUGUAAUGUUGCGAAUGGUGGUCAUAGAUGAUUGUUCUUUCUUUCUUUUGGAUACAGAUGAACCAAUACUGGUAGCUGAGGACUCAAAUUUAAUCUCAAGGAAUCAUGGGAUUGUUCAACAGAACAAUAUUGGUUCCCGAAAUUGGACUUCCUAAAUGAACUGGAAUUCCUCAAAGUAAAGUUUGAAAGUUCAAAUAAAAAUGAUAUUGUGCUCUCUAUAGCGACAAGUCGGCUGUGGGAUUUUCACUUCCCUUCUAGUUUGAAACUAUUGAGUUUUUUUGAGUUUCCUCUGACAUCUGAUUCACUAUCAACAAUAGCAAGACUGCCCAACCUUGAAGAGCUGUACCUUGUAAUUGCAAUCAUCGAGAGGAAGACACCUUCCAGAAUCUCAAAUGUUUGACGUUUCAGCGAGUGAGUCUUGCUAAGUGGGAGGUUAGAGAGGAAUCCAUUCAUGUGCUUGAGAAAUUACAACUGUGGGAAUGUCGAAAGCUUGAGGAGAUUCCGCAGAGUUUCGGGGAUCUUGUUUCAUUGAAAAUUAUCGAUCUGUGGAGAAGCCCUCAACUUGAAGAUUAAGCAAUAUGUUGAAGAUAUGAUGGGAGAAGACAGGAUUCAGGUCCCUGUUCGGAAUGAGUCUUGAACACUCUUACCCUGGGAAAAAUAUAGAGCAUUUAAGGAAUAUAUCCAACUUUUGAGGCUAAAGAUGAAUCCUCAAACAUCCAUCUUUCACUCCUUUUCUGUUACUUUGUUGUGUGGUGAAUAAGUGAUGGAUUUGUAUUGAUAUCAAUUAUUACUAUUUCACUUUUUUCUAAUUUCCCCGCUUUUUCUUCAUUUUGUGUGCUUAUGGUAUACAAAAAUGUACUCUAGUUAUGUAUUCCAAGAUUUGUUCUUUCAAAUUGUUAUUGUUGUAUA